UGUGGGGAAGGAACAUAUCGGAAUGAUGCUAUGACAAGCUGUGAGACAUGUGACGCUGGAUGGAAACCAAACACUAACAAAACUGCCUGUGUGAGCUGUACGGGACUGAAGGCUGAGUGGAGAACUGCGAUCAGAACAACAACACAGUUCCCAGUAGUCCCAGGAACUGUGGUGGAAGUGAAUUGUAUUGAAUCCAGAGCUCUCAAUAAAGGGAGCAGCGAGGUGACCUGCACCUCAGGAACGGAAUUUAUUUUCGAUUUUAAUGAACCCGAGUGUAUAAAUACAGGUAUAAUUUUAGAAGCGGAUAUGCUAAAUGACCAUAGUAUCACUACAAAAGGAUAACUAAACUCUUCAUACAACCAGGGUAGUAUCAGCAUAACCGACGAAAGGGGGUAAAAUAAUGUCGUAAGGGGGAGAGUUGGUUAAUGGUUAUAUUACUAUAGAAAACUGAUUUAAUUUAAUCUUACAGUUGAUGGGCUAUGACAAAUAGCUCAGAUGAUACUGCAAUCUAACUUAGAUAUCCAAAUAAGAAAAUGUAUGUUUGAGUUUUCCGGGUGGAAAAGUAUGACAGCAGAAACCCAGUACCCAUAAGUCCCCAGAAAAGUUAUCGAGGUAACCUGCUCUGAGAUCUCAACACAACAGCAUUUGACAAAGCAAAAUAAAAUGUAAAAUCAAUUUAAAUUCAAAAAUUUAACAAGCAAUGCAUUUUCAUUAUAACAUAGUAAAACACUUUGUUUCAUAAAUACAUUAAAUUUAAACUAAAACACUUAAUACAAUCGUGAGAUGUACGUAGAAUCCAGCUCAAUGUUACAACAUAAACCCUUGAUGAUAUUAUAGUCUAGCAAAUAUUAGAAACUAACCGCACAUCCGGUGAUUUCCAUUUCAAAUGACAAAAGCCAGAAGAUCUUAUUAAGGUCUAAUGAUAAUCUACUCGAUCCUAUCUCAAGUUAUUAAUUAACAACCCCAGGAACAAAGACGAUGAUGUAUAAAGUCUAUACGAAUGUCGACAGAAUAGAGAUGAGCAGGAAGAAAGUGAGAGAAUAUCAGCUCCAAUUAAUUUAUGAGAAUUCAAGAAUACAAAUUACAGAAACGAUCAGCUUCAUGGCAUUGAUAAGUGAUGAAUACCCUGAAAAAAGACACAUAACUCCAUCACUACCCUUACUCAGUAGGAACGAACCUUUCAACUGAAAAGAUGUGAAUCCUUUGUUGACCAUGUUAUGAGCUGUGAGCAGUAAGUACAAGAAGCGGAGAAUUACUCUAUUCGUCGAAAUCAAAAAACUGUUCAAUCAAUAUCCAAAAAUUUUAACAUUAUUAAGUUAUUAGGCUCAUAGUAAUACUUCUCAUACAAAUUUACAACAAAGUCUUCAUGUUAUGUAUCCUGAGUUUGGACAGGAUAAUAUUAUCCCCUUAAAAUAUUUCCAUCGCGAUACAUAAUAUUCAAUAAAUGUAAUAGAUUUGUA